GUGAUCAUAUGAAGCCAUUUAUUAUUACAUCGUUGCGUUGCUCCUUUUUAAAUCAUGAUAACAGAAAUCACCCAAAUGGCCCUGAUCAAAAGUUUACAUAUCCUUGAAUUUUUGGCCUUGUUACAGACACACAAGGUGACAUACACAGGUUAAAAUGACAAUUAAAGGUUAAUUUCCCACACCUGUGGCUUUUUAAAUUGCAAUUAGUGUCUGUGUAUAAAUAGUCAAUGAGUUUGUUAGCUCUUGGAUGCG